UACGAAGGGGGCGAGCGUUGUUCGGAUUUACUGGGCGUAAAGGGCGCGCAGGCGGCUCAUUUUGUCAGGCGUGAAAGCCCCGGGCUUAACCUGGGAACUGCGUUUGAUACGGAUGGGCUAGAGUUCGGGAGAGGAGAGUGGAAUUCCCAGUGUAGAGGUGAAAUUCGUAGAUAUUGGGAAGAACACCAGUGGCGAAGGCGGCUCUCUGGACCGAGACUGACGCUGAGGCGCGAAAGCGUGGGGAGCAAACAGG
rnacentral:rRNA from 1 species